GACGAACGCUGGCGGCGUGCUUAACACAUGCAAGUCUAGGGGGCCCGCAAGGGUCACCGGCGAACGGGUGCGUAACACGUGAGCGACCUACCCUGGAAUGGGGGAUAGCCGGCCCAACGGCCGGGUAAUACCGCAUACGCUCUUCGAGCUGCAUGGCUUGGAGAGGAAACCUUUUGGGUUCCUGGAGGGGCUCGCGGCCUAUCAGCUAGUUGGUGAGGUAACGGCUCACCAAGGCAAUGACGGGUAGCUGGUCUGAGAGGAUGGCCAGCCACAUUGGGACUGAGAAACGGCCCAGACUCCUACGGGAGGCAGCAGUGGGGAAUAUUGCGCAAUGGUCGAAAGACUGACGCAGCGACGCCGCGUGGAGGAUGACGCCCUUCGGGGUGUAAACUCCUGUUGCUCGGGACGAACCUCCCCAUUCGUGGGGACUGACGGUACCGGGUGAGGAAGCACCGGCUAACUCUGUGCCAGCAGCCGCGGUAAAAC
rnacentral:rRNA from 1 species